rnacentral:tRNA from 1 species
AGCACAGUCGGUAGUGCAGCUGAUUCGUAAUCAGCAGGUCGUGUGUUCGAGUCACAUC